UACGGGGGGGGUAAGCGUUGUUCGGAAUUACUGGGCGUAAAGGGCUCGUAGGCGGUCAACUAAGUCGGACGUGAAAUCCCUCAGCUUAACUGGGGAACUGCGUCCGAUACUGGAUGGCUUGGAUUUGGGAGAGGGAUGCAGAAUUCCAGGUGUAGCGGUGAAAUGCGUAGAUAUCUGGAGGAAUACCGGUGGCGAAGGCGGCCUGCUGGGCAGUAGCUGACGCUGAUGCGCGACAGCGUGGGGAGCAAACAGG
rnacentral:rRNA from 1 species